AGAAUCGGGUUCAAAUCUUGCGGGGACCUUCUGUGCCGUUUGAUUCCGGGACUCCUCUUGCUUGCUUGGUAGUUGCUCAAGACUUCUAAGCACUCUCAAGUGCUGCUUUGUGAUGAUUGUUGAUACAUGCUACACUUAGG